rnacentral:lncRNA from 1 species
CCGGCGUGACAUUUGUUCCGCUGGAACUAAUUUCAUAGGAAAUAUGUUCCGCCGGAACUUAUAUCACAGAAAAUAUGUUCCAGCACUGUAAAAUUUGUUCCGGAACUAAUUUUUUGACCAAAUAUGAAAUAAGUUCCGGAACAAAUAUCAUAGCUCCAUGAAUUUUGUUCCAGUUAAUAUUAAAAGUUUUAAAUAAGUUCCUGUGAUAUUAGUUUAAGACCAAUAUGUACAUAUUUCAAAGAAAUCAAUGAAUAAGUUCUUCUCAAACCUUUUUUCACUGAAAUAAGUACCUUUGCAACAUAUUGCACAGCGAAACAUUUUCUUGUUACACUUAAAUUAUAAAGCAAGCUAAACAUGCUAAAUGCUGUACUGAGUGUGCUGGCAUGGGAUACAUGUGCAAUUAUUGUAGACAUGACUGUAAAGUUCUACAGGAUAAAGCGAUGGUAAUUUAUCAUAAUUUGUAUCUAUGUUUUAUGUGGUAUUCCUCCUUGGUUCCUGUUAACUGUCAUGGCCCUGUUUCUAGUCAUACAUGUACUUGUCAUGGAACAGUUUCAAAAGAGUGUGUCUUUUGUUUCUUCAUGUCUUUUGGAAUCAUUAAUCAGUUAUUUUGUCCUUUUCAAAUUAGUUCAUAUGUUCAUGUUCAUCUUUGACUUUAAUUUUUUCUGAAAGAUUUUUCUUAUCCUACUCUUUUCUGGCUCAAAGUGGGACUGUCAUUUUGAUAUUUUUUACGUUUAUAAUUAAACAUUUGCUAUAGUCCACAAGAUUCUUAUUGGAUGAUUUACAUUUUUCAUUUCAGUAUUAUAUUAU